AGUGAACGCUGGCGGUAGGCCUAACACAUGCAAGUCGAACGGCAGCACAGUAAGAGCUUGCUCUUACGGGUGGCGAGUGGCGGACGGGUGAGGAAUACAUCGGAAUCUACUUUUUCGUGGGGGAUAACGUAGGGAAACUUACGCUAAUACCGCAUACGACCUACGGGUGAAAGCAGGGGGUCUUCGGACCUUGCGCGAUUGAAUGAGCCGAUGUCGGAGUAGCUAGUUGGCGGGGUAAAGGCCCACCAAGGCGACGCUCCGUAGCUGGUCUGAGAGGAUGAUCAGCCACACUGGAACUGAGACACGGUCCAGACUCCUACGGGAGGCAGCAGUGGGGAAUAUUGGACAAUGGGCGCAAGCCUGAUCCAGCCAUACCGCGUGAGUGAAGAAGGCCUUCGGGUUGUAAAGCCCUUUUGUUGGGAAAGAAAAGCAGCAGGUUAAUACCCCGCUGUUCUGACGGUACCCAAAGAAUAAGCACCGGCUAACUUCGUG
rnacentral:rRNA from 1 species